rnacentral:rRNA from 1 species
UACGUAGGGUCCAAGCGUUAUCCGGAAUUACUGGGCGUAAAGGGCUCGUAGGCGGCCAACUAAGUCCGACGUGAAAUCCCAAAGCUUAACUUUGGAACUGCGUCGGAUACUGGAUGGCUUGAAUUCGGGAGAGGGAUGCAGAAUUCCAGGUGUAGCGGUGAAAUGCGUAGAUAUCUGGAGGAAUACCGGUGGCGAAGGCGGCAUCCUGGACCGACAUUGACGCUGAGGAGCGAAAGCUAGGGGAGCAAACGGG